rnacentral:rRNA from 1 species
UUUUGGACAAUGGGCGAAAGCCUGAUCCAGCAAUGCCGCGUGUGUGAAGAAGGCCUUCGGGUUGUAAAGCACUUUUGUCCGGAAAGAAAUCCUUGGUCCUAAUAUGGCCGGGGGAUGACGGUACCGGAAGAAUAAGCACCGGCUAACUACGUGCCAGCAGCCGCGGUAAUACGUAGGGUGCAAGCGUUAAUCGGAAUUACUGGGCGUAAAGCGUGCGCAGGCGGUUUGCUAAGACCGAUGUGAAAUCCCCGGGCUCAACCUGGGAACUGCAUUGGUGACUGGCAGGCUAGAGUAUGGCAGAGGGGGGUAGAAUUCCACGUGUAGCAGUGAAAUGCGUAGAGAUGUGGAGGAAUACCGAUGGCGAAGGCAGCCCCCUGGGCCAAUACUGACGCUCAUGCACGAAAGCGUGGGGAGCAAACAGGAUUAGAUACCCUGGUAGUCCACGCCCUAAACGAUGUCAACUAGUUGUUGGGGAUUCAUUUCCUUAGUAACGUAGCUAACGCGUGAAGUUGACCGCCUGGGGAGUACGGUCGCAAGAUUAAAACUCAAAGGAAUUGACGGGGACCCGCACAAGCGGUGGAUGAUGUGGAUUAAUUCGAUGCAACGCGAAAAACCUUACCUACCCUUGACAUGGUCGGAAUCC